rnacentral:rRNA from 1 species
AGUAACGCGUGAGGAACCUGCCUUUCAGAGGGGGACAACAGCUGGAAACGGCUGCUAAUACCGCAUAACACAUAGGUGUCGCAUGGCAUUUAUGUCAAAGAUUUAUCGCUGAGGGAUGGCCUCGCGUCUGAUUAGCUAGUUGGUAGGGUAACGGCCUACCAAGGCGACGAUCAGUAGCCGGACUGAGAGGUUGGCCGGCCACAUUGGGACUGAGAUACGGCCCAGACUCCUACGGAAGGCAGCAG